rnacentral:rRNA from 1 species
UCAAGUGAAUAAGCGCACAUGGCGGAUGCCUUGGCAACUGGAGGCGAUGAAGGGCGUAGUAACCUGCGAAAAGCACGGGGGAGCUGGUAAACGAGCAUUAAUCCCGUGAUGCCCGAAUGGGGAAACCCACCUAAUUUAUUAGGUAUCGUGCACUGAAUACAUAGGUGUACGAAGCGAACGAGGGGAACUGAAACAUCUAAGUACCCUCAGGAAAAGAAAUCAAACGAGAUUCCCUCAGUAGCGGCGAGCGAAAGGGGAUCAGCCGAACAAUUUGAAUGUAGUGGAAGAGUCUGGAAAGGCUCGCGAUACAGGGUGAUAGCCCCGUACACGAAACGCUCAAGUUGACGCAUUAAGUAGGUCGGGACACGUGUUAUCUUGACUGAAGAUGGGGGGACCAUCCUCCAAGGCUAAAUACUCCCAGUUGACCGAUAGUGAACAAGUACCGUGAGGGAAAGGCGAAAAGAACCCCGGUGAGGGGAGUGAAAUAGAACCUGAAACCGUGUGCGUACAAGCAGUAGGAGCUCCUUCGUGGAGUGACUGCGUACCUUUUGUAUAAUGGGUCAGCGACUUACUGUCAGUGGCAAGGUUAACCGAAUAGGGGAGCCGUAGAGAAAUCGAGUCUUAAUAGGGCGCAUAGUCGCUGGCAGUAGACCCGAAACCGAGCGAUCUAUCCAUGGGCAGGUUGAAGGUGCCGUAACAGGCACUGGAGGACCGAACCGUAAUCUGUUGAAAAAGAUUCGGAUGACCUGUGGAUCGGAGUGAAAGGCUAAUCAAGCUCGGAGAUAGCUGGUUCUCCCCGAAAGCUAUUUAGGUAGCGCGUCAUAUCUCACCCUCGGGGGUAGAGCACUGUUUGGGCUAGGGGGUCAUCCCGACUUACCAACCCCAUGCAAACUCCGAAUACCCAGGAGUACAAUCGCGGGAGACACACGGCGGGUGCUAACGUCCGUCGUGAAAAGGGAAACAACCCAGACCGCCAGCUAAGGUCCCUAAUACCAGUUAAGUGGGAAACGAUGUGGGAAGGCUUAGACAGCUAGGAGGUUGGCUUAGAAGCAGCCAUCCUUUAAAGAAAGCGUAAUAGCUCACUAGUCGAGUCGUCCUGCGCGGAAGAUGUAACGGGGCUCAAACUGUGCACCGAAGCUGCGGAUAUCGAAAGAUAUGGUAGGGGAGCGUUCUGUAGGUCUGUGAAGGUGUCUUGUAAAGGAUGCUGGAGAUAUCAGAAGUGCGAAUGCUGACAUGAGUAGCGAUAAAGGGAGUGAAAAGCUCCCUCGCCGAAAGCCCAAGGUUUCCUACGCAACGUUCAUCGGCGUAGGGUGAGUCGGCCCCUAAGGCGAGGCAGAAAUGCGUAGUCGAUGGGAAACAGGUUAAAAUUCCUGUACCGAUUGUGAGUGCGAUGGGGGGACGGAGAAGGGUAGCUCAGCCAACUGUUGGAAUAGUUGGUUCAAGCGUGUAGGCAGGUCCAUCAGGCAAAUCCGGUGGGCCAAUGCUGAGGCGUGAUAACGAGGUGCUACGGCACUGAAGUGAGUAAUCCCAUGCUUCCAGGAAAAGCCUCUAAGCUUCAGCUCACAAUUGACCGUACCGCAAACCGACACAGGUGGGUAGGAUGAGAAUUCUAAGGCGCUUGAGAGAACUCGGGUUAAGGAACUCGGCAAAUUGACACCGUAACUUCGGGAGAAGGUGUGCCCCGGUAGGGUGAAGGACCUCGCGUCCGGAGCUCGAUGGGGUUGCAGUGAAAAGGUGGCUGCGACUGUUUAAUAAAAACACAGCACUGUGCCAACACGAAAGUGGACGUAUACGGUGUGACGCCUGCCCGGUGCUGGAAGAUUAAAUGAUGGGGUGCAAGCUCUUGACUGAAGUCCCAGUAAACGGCGGCCGUAACUAUAACGGUCCUAAGGUAGCGAAAUUCCUUGUCGGGUAAGUUCCGACCCGCACGAAUGGCGUAACGAUGGCCACACUGUCUCAACCCGAGACUCAGCGAAGUUGAAAUGUUUGUGAAGAUGCAAUCUCCCCGCUGCUAGACGGAAAGACCCCGUGAACCUUUACUGUAGCUUUGCAUUGGACUUUGAACAGACUUGUGUAGGAUAGGUGGGAGGCUUUGAAGCAGAGACGCCAGUUUCUGUGGAGCCGCCCUUGAAAUACCACCCUGGUGUGUUUGAGGUUCUAACCUUGGUCCGUCAUCCGGAUCGGGGACCGUGCAUGGUAGGCAGUUUGACUGGGGCGGUCUCCUCCCAAAGUGUAACGGAGGAGUUCGAAGGUUACCUAGGUACGGUCGGACAUCGUACUGAUAGUGCAAUGGCAAAAGGUAGCUUAACUGCGAGACCCACAAGUCGAGCAGGUGCGAAAGCAGGACAUAGUGAUCCGGUGGUUCUGAAUGGAAGGGCCAUCGCUCAACGGAUAAAAGGUACUCCGGGGAUAACAGGCUGAUUCCGCCCAAGAGUUCAUAUCGACGGCGGAGUUUGGCACCUCGAUGUCGGCUCAUCACAUCCUGGGGCUGUAGCCGGUCCCAAGGGUAUGGCUGUUCGCCAUUUAAAGUGGUACGUGAGCUGGGUUUAAAACGUCGUGAGACAGUUUGGUCCCUAUCUGCAGUGGGCGUUGGAAGUUUGAAGGGGGCUGCUCCUAGUACGAGAGGACCGGAGUGGACGAACCUCUGGUGUACCGGUUAUGACGCCAGUCGUAUCGCCGGGUAGCUAAGUUCGGAAGAGAUAAGCGCUGAAAGCAUCUAAGCGCGAAACUCGCCUUAAGAUGAGACUUCCCUGGCACCUAGAGUGCCCUGAAGGGUCGUUCGAGACCAGGACGUUGAUAGGUUGGGUGUGGAAGCGCAGUAAUGCGUUAAGCUAACCAAUACUAAUUGCCCGUGCGGCUUGAUCCU